GUUUCAGUGAGGCUGCCUCUUUCUGGGGUUGUCGAACUGAGAUUUAGCAAGGAGGGUUAAGUCGUAACAAGGUAUCUGUAGGGGAACCUGCAGAUGGAUCACCUCCU
rnacentral:rRNA from 1 species